GAUCCUGGCUCAGGAUGAACGCUAGCUACAGGCUUAACACAUGCAAGUCGAGGGGCAGCAUGGUCUUAGCUUGCUAAGGCUGAUGGCGACCGGCGCACGGGUGAGUAACACGUAUCCAACCUGCCGUCUACUCUUGGCCAGCCUUCUGAAAGGAAGAUUAAUCCAGGAUGGGAUCAUGAGUUCACAUGCCCGCAUGAUUAAAGGUAUUUUCCGGUAGACGAUGGGGGA
rnacentral:rRNA from 1 species